rnacentral:lncRNA from 1 species
UUUUUAUCAAUUCUUUAUAACAUCCUUUGUCUGUUUUGUGAGUAGAAGAUGAAUUGUGUUAUGAUCUUGAUUAAGUUACUUAUGAAAUCAUUUUAGAUAGUUGUCUUAAAAAGUAUAGUCUCUAGUUUAACAGUCAAAUCAGACAGUUCUGUACUAUAUGGGUAAAGCUUUAAUCAAGGAUAAUGUUAUGGUUGUAACUUAGCUAGAUAAAUAGAUAUUUUAUUGACAUCAAAAUAGGACAUAGGGUUGUUUCUGCAAUCCUUUACCAUAGUGUAGUAUCAUGGGACAUGGCAUUAUUUCACAUUUCGAAUUGAUUGUUCAUUAAGACAUAUUUAACUUAUGUAUUUUUAUGUUCCAUUGCUUAUCUGCAAUACUCUUCAAAACACAUGGAACAGCAUACACUAUAGAAACUAAUAGUUUGACAAUAUUUGCUGUCCUUAUUUCUUGUCCUUUUAAAAUGGUCUAAGUUUUCUUCAAAAUUUUUGGCAGUAAUCGUUUGUGUUUCUUCCAUUAUAUUAUUUAUAUAUGUCUUCAUUCAGAC